AAGGACAGGCGGCCCCAGAGGGAACAGAGCCCGAGGAGGCUGUCGCGACAGCCCCGUCCGGGACAGACGCCGAGGGAGCUCUGAGAGAGGAAACUCCGUCGGGGACAGUCCCUGAGGAUGCGGAGCGAGAGGCAGCCCCGACAGAGCCCGAGGAGGCUGCGGCGACAGCUCCAGCGGGGACAGUCCCCGAGGAUGCGGGUGCGGUGCAGGAGGCAGCCCCGGCUGAUGUGGCAGUCCCCGAAAAGGCGCUGGGGACAGUCCCUAAGGGUGAGGUGCAGGAGGCAGCCCCGGCUGGGACAGUCCCUGAGGAAGGGGCGGUCCCGGUGGGGACAGUCCCCAGGGAUGAGGUGCAGGAGGCAGCUCAGGCAGGGACAGUCUCUGAGGAAGUGCUGGGGACAGUCGCUAAGGAUGCGGUGCAGGAAGAAUCCGCAUCUGGGACAGUCCCCAGGGAGGUGUUGGAGACAAUCCCCAAGGAUGAGCUGCGGGACGUAGCCCCGGCAGGGACGGUCCCUGAGGAUGCGGUGCAGGAGGAAACCCAGUCUGGGACACUCCCCAAAGAUGAGGUGCGGGAGGAAGCUCCAGCAGGGUCCGAGGAUGCGGUGCAGGAGGCAGCCCCGGCAGGGACAGUCCCUGAGGAGGCGUUGGGGACAAUCCCCAAGGAUGGGGUGCAGCAGGAAACUCCAGCAGGGACGGUCCCCGGGGAUGCGGUGCAGGAGGAAGCUCCAGUCCCCAGGGAUGCGGCGCAGGACGCAGUUCCAGUCCCCAGGGAUGAGGGGCAGGAGGAAACCCUGGCAGUUCCAGUCCCCAGGGAUGCGGGGCAGGACGCAGUUCCAGUCCCCAGGGAUGAGGUGCAGGAGGCAGUUCCAGUCCCCAGGGAUGAGGUGCAGGACGCAGUUCCAGUCCCCAGGGAUGAAGUGCAGGAGGCAGCCCCCGCAGGCUCGGUCCCUGCGGAGCGCAGCGCGGAUGCUGCCGAGAGCCGCGGGG
rnacentral:lncRNA from 1 species